rnacentral:rRNA from 1 species
AACCUUAUGAUAUAAUAUAAGGCUUUUUCUGCUCCAUGGGAAUCUAAAUAGCCGCAGUACCCUGACUGUGCAAAGGUAGCAUAAUCAGUUGACUUAUAAUUGAAGUCUAGAAUGAAUGAAUAUACGGGCAGCAACUGUCUCAGAAGUAUUUUAAUUAAUUUAGUUACCAAGUGCAAAUACUUGAAGUUAUAAAAAAGACGAGAAGACCCUAGAAACUUUAAAUUUAAUUUGUUGGGGCGACAGAAUUACAUAUAACUAAUUUUAUAUUACAAGAAACAUUAGGUGGAAGAACAAGUUACUCUAGGGAUAACAGCAUAAUUUAUUUUAAGUUUGUGACCUCGAUGUUGGACUAGGUAUAAUAGUUUUUAAAAGAAUCUACUUAUCGCUCUGUUCGAGCAAUAAAAACCUACAU